rnacentral:snoRNA from 1 species
AUCCCAUGAUGAGGACAGGUGGUGACAUUUUCCUGCAGCCUUUCCCAAGCUUCUAGAAUUGUCUCAUCUCUCGUUUGCUGGAAGCUGGUUAUUCUUGCACGAAGGGG